rnacentral:rRNA from 1 species
UACGUAGGGGGCAAGCGUUGUCCGGAUUUAUUGGGCGUAAAGAGCGUGUAGGCGGCCAGGUAGGUCCGUUGUGAAAACUCGAGGCUUAACCUCGAGACGUCGAUGGAAACCAUCUGGCUAGAGUCCGGAAGAGGAGAGUGGAAUUCCUGGUGUAGCGGUGAAAUGCGCAGAUAUCAGGAAGAACACCCGUGGCGAAGGCGGCAUCCUGGACCGGUAUUGACACUGAAAAGCGAAAGCCAGGGGAGCAAACGGG